AAAAUAAAAUGAAAGAAAUUAAAAUUAUAUUAUCGAAUAUAUUCACAAGCAGACAAAAUCUAUAACCAAUUAUCGCUAUAUAUAUACGUCGUCAAAACACUCGAGUUUGAUCAUUACUGCGACUAACGCACUACAGGAAAUUCAUUCUGUCUGUCCUUAUACAAAUUCUCAAACUUCUAUCUAGUAGUUUCACAAUACCAGUUUUACCGAAUAAUCAUUUUUCGCGAUUCGACUUGCAAAUCCGCGAAUACAAAAAGUCAAACGAAAGCAAGGAACAUGCGAGGUAUACGCAUACGUGUUAUCCUAAGUACGAUGCACCGAUUCGAACAAGCGAUCGAGCGAGAGAGCCACUCGAAUCAGCGAACGAUCGAGGAUUAUCUGCAUUCACCGGGGCAAGUUGACGACAAGGCACAGGAGGAGAAUAGAUUAAUAGCGGGAACGGCACCCAGAGAUAUUGUCAUUGGAUAUCGGAUGAGAGGGAGCGAGGGGGGAGGAGAGAGAGAGAGAGAGAGAGAGAGAGAUCCAUAAGACAGAAGGAUAGAUAGAGAUAUGUAGAGACGAGUUAAAGGCUAGGUGAAUAUCCUUCGUAUAUCGGGGAUGGCGUUACAGAGAGAUGACAUUACCACCGCGGACGAUAGAAACUGGAAUCGACGAGAAAAGUCGUGAUGGUCCAUCCCGAUGGAGUACACCACAUCGAUAUCGAUCCUUAAUUUCGAAGAACGACCGGCAUCCUCGCGUGGGCGGACACGCUGGUCACCGAUCCAGGAACCUGCGCCACCGUGUUGUUUCCACCGUGCACGAUGAUCCCCUUUUGUCGGCGGAUCAACCUCGUCGCGGAUUUCUCGGCUAUCGUCCUUCUGGCAAUAUGGCGUGAAGCGAGGAUAAUUCGGCGGGAUUUGGGGGAGCCACGCCAACGGUGCUGAUUUUCGAGGAGAAAUUUUCGGUGGUGGGACGGCAAGGGGUGGGCCUUUUACCGUCGUCCCGCUUCCUAUUGAAGUUUUGUGCGGGGAUUCCGUGUAUGAAUAAUUUGGAAAUAAAAAGUUCGUUCGUUUUUUAUUGAAGAUAAAAAAAUAUAUAUAUUUCUCUGGAUAUUGGAGAUAUAAACGAAAUUAAUUUUUUUUUCACACCAGUUUCAAGUUUUUAUUCCAUUCGAAAUGUUGCGGAUAACUUGGAACAUCGUAUCCUCGAGUAAACUCUUUCUUUACGAAAAUCGUUGUAAUCAAUCGAUAGAUAACGAAGAGAAAAAUAAAGAAAUAUAUAAACUAAUAA